rnacentral:rRNA from 1 species
GAUGAACGCUAGCUACAGGCUUAACACAUGCAAGUCGAGGGGAAACGACAUCGAAAGCUUGCUUUUGAUGGGCGUCGACCGGCGCACGGGUGAGUAACGCGUAUCCAACCUGCCCAUCACUUGUGGAUAACCUUGCGAAAGUAAGACUAAUACCCAAUGAUAUCUCUAGAAGACAUCUGAAAGAGAUUAAAGAUUUAUCGGUGAUGGAUGGGGAUGCGUCUGAUUAGCUUGUUGGCGGGGUAACGGCCCACCAAGGCAACGAUCAGUAGGGGUUCUGAGAGGAAGGUCCCCCACAUUGGAACUGAGACACGGUCCAAACUCCUACGGGAGGCAGCAGUGAGGAAUAUUGGUCAAUGGGCGAGAGCCUGAACCAGCCAAGUAGCGUGCAGGAAGACGGCCCUAUGGGUGGUAAACUGCUUUUAUAAGGGAAUAAAGUGAGAGUCGUGACUCUUUUUGUAUGUACCUUAUGAAUAAGGACCGGCUAAUUCCGUG